rnacentral:tRNA from 1 species
GGCAGUUUAGCUCAGUGGUAGAGCUCUUGCCUGGGAUGCAAAAACCCUGGGUUCAAAUUCCAAUGCCA